rnacentral:rRNA from 1 species
UACGAAGGGGGCUAGCGUUGCUCGGAAUCACUGGGCGUAAAGCGCACGUAGGCGGCUUUUUAAGUCAGGGGUGAAAUCCUGGAGCUCAACUCCAGAACUGCCUUUGAUACUGAGAAGCUUGAGUCCGGGAGAGGUGAGUGGAACUGCGAGUGUAGAGGUGAAAUUCGUAGAUAUUCGCAAGAACACCAGUGGCGAAGGCGGCUCACUGGACUGGUAUUGACGCUGAGGUGCGAAAGCGUGGGGAGCAAACAGGG